UUGGCUACGCGAGCGCAUGAGUUGUGCUUGACCUGUGACUGCUGAGAGGACCCCCGCCGUUGUGCGGCUGACUCUCUGCGCCUGUGUCUCCUCAAUUGUGGGCUACCUAGCCCUCUACUCGUUUGACGAGUGCUUGCAUGAUGCUACCGGCCUGAUGGAAGUUGCGUUUGAAACAUGUUGCAUUUGUUGUGCUAGCCUAUAUGGCAUGGCACAAUGACUUGACAGUGUCCACGGCGUUGCCUCGUGUAGCCAGCCAUCCAAGCCGGCUUCAUCAAGGCCACCUCGUGUACCCUAUUGGUCUUGGAUGUGGCUGAUGAUAAAGGCCGAAGGCGCUCUUGCGUCGCGUGCCUAGCAAACAUGGUCCCAUUGGAAACAACGACAGCUAGCCCAGCCAAUGCCUUGUGCAGGAGCCGGUGCUGGUUUGUUGGUGAGGACGUGCUACCUGGUUGAUCCUGCCAGUAGUCAUAUGCUU
rnacentral:misc_RNA from 1 species